rnacentral:lncRNA from 1 species
CACUCUGUUUGGGGAUUCGAACAACGAGAUGGUGCGCUAAGCUACUAGUUUAAUUAAAAAUAUAUAAAUUAAUUUUUUUUUUUAUUUUUUGCGGGUAACAGGUACCUGUGGGUCAGGUAGUAUACUACUCGUACUCCAUCCGUUUAGAAGCGGGUAUUAAAAUACUCGUUACUACGGAUAGUAAAUAUCCAUGGAUAGUAACUACCUGUCGCAGAUUUUACCCAUGGAUACUCGUGCCCACGAAUUUUUUUGUCAUCCCUAGAUAGUGCUGUCUGAGGAUUCGCACAGUGAGC